UACGUAGGGGCCGAGCGUUGCCCGGAGUUACUGGGCGUAAAGCGCGCGCAGGCGGCUCGUCAAGCCUGACGUGAAAGCCCCCGGCUCAACCGGGGAGGGUCGUCGGGGACUGGCGGGCUUGAGGUCGGCAGGGGUUGGUGGAAUUCCCGGUGUAGUGGUGAAAUGCGUAGAGAUCGGGAGGAACACCCGUGGCGAAGGCGGCCAACUGGGCCGGACCUGACGCUGAGGCGCGAAGGCGUGGGGAGCGAACGGG
rnacentral:rRNA from 1 species